GAAGAUUUCUGAAUGUCGAGAGGGGGUAUUAUAAAGACGGAAUAAUUUAUAUAUGUAAAAAAAAAAUAUCUCCAAACCUGAAAGAAUUGAAGAUGACAUUCUGCUAUGUGAAAAUAUGUGCGUGUAUUUGUUACCAUACUCAUUGGUAAUUUGUUGAAUGUUCAAAACGAACAUUGUUCCCAAACACCGGAACUGCAACACUUGACGUUUUCAGGAGAUGAGACACACAUCAAUGAUUUCUGGUAGAAAACUGAAGCAAGAUUAUCAAUCAAUUGGAAGAGAAAGAUAUUUUAUAUCGGAAAGCAGAUAAAGGCAAUAAGGAAACUAAAGUUCGUUUUGCGAGGUUUUGUUUGUUCCCAUAUAGAAGGCAUAGAACAUAAAUACCAUGCCAUUACCACUUGCCAGAUAUAGAUAUACACAGAACGGAGUGCCCGAGAGGGGAGCAACUUCGAGAUAGGACAGAGAUAAAUAAUAAGACAACCCAUAAGAAAAGCUGGUGCCCGCACUUACAAAACUGAUAGACAUCAAAGAACCAAGUAGUGGGAAGGUGUGAUUAAAAACAUACUGCUCUACGGAGCACUUAUAUAGUAUAUGGAAUGGGGUUAUGAAAAUCCAGAGAUACAAAAACCAUGAUUACCAGUUUGCAAAGGCGAUUUUUUCUCAGAUUUCUCCUCUGCAAGUCGAAUUGAAGAAAAUAUCGAUUAUUGCCAUAAGAACCAGUUGUAAAUUACAUUCAAAUAUUUGUUGUGACAUCUAGCACUUCCUAAGGUGAUUCCCGUUUUUGACGCGCAGACAAGUUGGCGAUGUGCUCCCACCCUUCCUUCGUCAAAACAAGUUCUCCACACCAGAGCUUACUCGAUUCCAAGCUCGCGUUCAGUCAAAGACGCAAUUUAGAGGGUGCUGGAUGACGCUGUGGCAUUCGGUUUCAUCAGAGUUCGCGCGAAAAUUUUGAGCAUCGGACGUUUGGCGGAGUUUUGUGAGUUGUGGAGGAUGUUUUAUGAAGUUUAGUGAGGCUCGUUGACAAUACAAUCAGUGAAAAAAGAAAUUUUGGUUUUAAUGCUUCUAGUGACUUUCCUCGUGUGAAAUGUUUCAUUUGACGAUUGAAAGUAACGAUGGGGUUCAAUAAUACCUAAGAUUUCCACCGGAUUUGGCGAGCCUUUCAAUCCCCGUAGAAUAAAACCUCGUGAAAGUUUCAAUUAAGACGAAGUGCCGGAACUGAACCUUUAAAAAAAUAAACACACGGCACAGCACUUUGACACCAUGCGGGCGACUUCAUUGCCGUUCGUGAUGGGGUUCAGUUGGGUGUUGUUGGCGGCGGUCGUUCUGGCGGCGGCCGGAGAUGUGGCGCAUCUCUCCUUCUCCGGAUCGAGAUGUCCCAGGGCGUGUUCUUGUGUGGGGACGACGGUAGAUUGCUCCAGGAGGGGUCUGACUGCGGUGCCGAGGAACAUUCCUUUGGAUACUGA